CCAAUAAAACUUAAUUGACAUGGCCCAUGGGCCUCACUUUAGUCCAUCCCGGCUUCUUGGUCUGGCGGGUUGGUAUGGAGCUAGUAGGACCAGGUUCAUUCUCCUGGAACGAAUCUGAACCAGAGUUGUAAAUUCCCAAAUCUAAAUCUAGGGAUUUCUCAUCGUCGGCUUCAUCCCGGCGAACGAUCUUCUCCAAGUUGGCCUUGAUAGAUUGGUAAUUUAACAUGAUCGUAUCAUAUAUCUCUACAAAGUUCAAUUGCUCUAACUUUAUCGCAAUCAAUCUUAAGAUGUUAGUUUUGAAUGUUUUUCUUCAACUUUAUCAGAUGCUUCUUUUGUUUCUUAGAUUUUUCUUCGACAAAAGGGCAAAAACAAUAUAAAAGAAUGGUUUUGUGCAUAUUUUUUAUUCAUCUUAGAUUGUUAUACAAACUAUUUUAGGUACAGUACAACUCUACAGUUUUGAUCCAUUAUUUGAUUAUGGAGAUUAAUUGGGUGGCGAUUAUAGAGAAAAUGACAACAGAUUAGCCUGCACUAUCUGCUGCAAUAAUGUUGGUGAGGGAAGAUAAAGAGGAUCUUGUGAUAGUUUCACCUCUCUAUGUUAACAUCACAAGAUCCUCUUUUGCUUUCUCCACCAGCAUUAUUACAUCAAACAGUGCAAGCUAACUAGAUGUUAUUUUCUCUAUCAUCACCACCCAAUCUUUCUCAUUUUCACCUCCACCUCCUCUGAAUCUGUCUCCUUUGAUGGAAUACAAUUCGUCUAGAUCUUCUGGUAGCAGCUCAUUAGCAGUCUGGGAAGCUAGAUCAUGAGAAGUAGUCUCCUUCUUGGGAAAGCUCUGAAAUGAUAGUUUGAUCGAAGGUUACCCAUGCCCGGCUUUACUUUCCUCAUGUUGGUUUCAUUAUAACCAUGUAAACUCUUGAGCGACAUCGAUCACUUAUGAGGUCAGCGACGAUAGAACGUCUGACUUAUUUGAUGACCGGAAUGGCAUCUCACCCAGUUGUAUUUAAGGUUUUCAGAACAAACUUCUCUUAGAAGAUCGAUAAGAAAUGGAUUCGAAGAUGGUGGAAAUGAAAAUCAUAUCCCAUCAAAGAAGAGGAAUUAGCAGGAUUCAUAAUAGAAUUAGGGUCGGAUUGUGAUAUUCUGAUAUCAGGAUUAUGAUCAUUAUAUAGAGUGGGUACUCAUUAUAAAUUGGGAUUCUGAGAUGUCCAUUUCAAGAAAAAAAUCCGGGAAUUAAAGAAAAAUCAUUAAUGACAUGUAUUUUGUCACAUACCCUAAAUCUUACUGGUUUGGGUCCUUGGGAGAAUCUAUUUUAGCUUCUUUCCUCUUGGUUAUUAAUUGCUUGGUAUCAAAUGCAACAUCAAACCAUCCUUCUUUACUAUAAAAUAUUCCUACUUUAUUACACUGUAUCUCCUCUUUCUCAGGUUGACCCUAGGGUGUCAAAUAAAACCCAGCUCGACGGGCUCGCGAACCCAACGAGCUGAGCCCGAGCCCAAUCCUCAAGCUCGUUUAGCUUAACGAGCCGAGCUCGAGCUUGGACAUGCCAAGCUCGUCUCGUUAAGCUCGAUUGGGCUCGGUAAGAAGUAUAAAAAAAUAAUAAAAAAAAUAUUAUAUUUAGAGAGAAUGGAGGUGUAGCAUAGAUGGUAAAACGUUUGUCAAGCAUGCGAGAGGUCACGGGUUCGAUCCUGCAUGUCUCCAAAUAAUUAUUUUUUUUAAUUCGAGCCCAGGCUCGCGAGCUUCGAGCCCGAGCCUGGCAAUUCUUAAAACGAGCCGAGCCCGAGCUCGGCCAAACCAGGCUCGGCGAACUCGAGCUCGAGCCUGGAUAACUCCUUAACGAGCCGAACCCGAGCCUGGCUCUAUAAGAAAAAGCUCGACUCGGCUCCUUUGACACCCUAGUCGAGCCCUAGGGGUAUUUAUACACAUUCUUAUUGGGCCUAAUGUCAUGUUGGACCGGCUCUUCUUGACCUUUUGGACCGGACCCGUCCGGGUCCGACUUGUUGGGUCGAGUUCGACUUGUUGAGCCAAGUGGGCCUAUUGGAUCGGGAGUGGGUCUGGUCUGAUGGACUAGAGGAGGGGUAUCAUCAGUUAUGUUUAACUUAAGUUUUUUUUAUGUUUGUAUUAUUACCUGUGGAUAUAUGUUUGUAUUAUUACCUGUGUACCAUCAGUUAUGUUGUACAUCUCCGACCAUCCUCGAAUGACAUCUUCCGGCAUCACUUACAUGCGUAUUAUAUCUCAUACAUAUAUUACUACGUACCUAUGAGUAAAAGAUCUUAACUUUCAUAUUUGAAUGAUUUAACCAAGUCAUUGUGUAAAGUCUUUGACCCUUAAAAUGACUUUCUAAUCAAGAUCAAUUAUAUCCAUUUUUAACGCAUAUUUUUAUGGUACUCUCUACUAACCACGAAAAAGACUACUAAUCUUCCUUAUAGCCUUCGUACGCGUUCUAAUGGUUUUUUCUUUCGUCUACUGAUUUUUUCUACAUUAUUUUUGACUGAUUCAAUUAUAGAUCGAUCUACGGUCAAUGGCGUAUCCAUCUAGGGGCAAGGAAGGGCAAUUGCCCCUCCUAAAAUUUAACAAUUUUAAAAGGACCUAUAUUAAUUUAUAACUAUAUCAGGGUUUCAAUAUAAUUUUUACACUAUAUUACUAUUUUAUGAAGAUUAACUUAUAAAUUCUACAUAUAUAAUUAUGGCAAGUUUUCAGAGCAAUAUCACUAUCUGUGCUAUCUACGUCGUACGAAAUCCGGCCGUUCGAUUUGUUUGAUGAAAUGACAACCGUUUAUUUUUAAAUAGCUAUUAAAUAUGUUGUAUAAUAGAAUGUUGUAUUUAUUCGUUGAAUAAUAGAAUGUUGUAUAGGAAUAUUCGUUGAAUAAUUAGUGUCAGUAGUUUAUUGAAUGUUGUAGAUGUUUGGUCUUAGGUUACUGACAGUUAAUUUUUUCUUUUUUUUCCUGACACUACGUUCGAGGUAGCUAGUAUCGAACUGUCUUGUCAUGGUAGUUUUUUUUCAAAAGUUUUCAAUGCAAACGUGCUUUAAUUGUAGAGGAAAACAUACUUUAAUUGCAGAGUAGAACGUACUUCAAUUGCAGAGUAUAAUAUACUUCAAUUAUAGAGC
rnacentral:lncRNA from 1 species